rnacentral:rRNA from 1 species
GUUUCUGCUAUAAGGACAACAGCUCAGUAAAACUAAGCGCUCUAACCUCGGCAUCAACUAACUUUGGGAAACUAAGGCUAAAAGCUGAGGAUGAGGCUUAGCACUAUCAGCUAGUAGGUAGUGUAAUGGACUACCUAGGCGGUGACGGUUAACGGGAUACGAGAGUGUGAUACCGGAGAGGGAGCCUGAGAAACAGCUCCUACAUCCAAGGAUGGCAGCAGGCGCGAAAAUUGUCCACUCUUUGCAGGAGACAGUUAUGAAAAGUAAAAAAGGUAGGUCUUGUAAAGAAAGAUUCUAAAAUUGGAGGGCAAGUUUGGUGCCAGCAGCCGCGGUAAUACCAACUCCAAGAGUGUGUAUGAGAGUUGUUGCAGUUAAAAGGUCCGUAGUCGUUCAUGGAAAUAAGGCUUUGGCCUGCAUUUAAUGUGGAGGGGCUGAUGGGGACCAUAGUAUACAGGGGCGAGAGAUGAAAUGUCUAAACCCUCUGUGGACUCAGCGAGGCGAAAGCGGUGGUCUAGUAAGUACUCGGUGAUCAAGGACGAAGGGUAGAGGAGCGAAAGUGAUUAGAUACCGCUGUAGUUUUACCAGUAAAAGAUGCCGACUAUCCUGGCGUGUGCGGGCGCAAGCAAUGCGCAGGCUGGGAAUAGAGAAAUCGAUAAGUGUUCGGGCUCUGGGGAUAGUAUGCUCGCAAGAGUGAAAAUUAAAGAAAUUGACGGAGCUACACCACAAGGA